rnacentral:rRNA from 1 species
GAUGAACGCUGGCGGCGUGCCUAAUACAUGCAAGUCGAGCGAACAGACGAGGAGCUUGCUCCUCUGACGUUAGCGGCGGACGGGUGAGUAACACGUGGAUAACCUACCUAUCAGACUGGGAUAACUUCGGGAAACCGGAGCUAAUACCGGAUAAUAUAUUGAACCGCAUGGUUCAAUAGUGAAAGACGGUUUUGCUGUCACUUAUAGAUGGAUCCGCGCCGCAUUAGCUAGUUGGUAAGGUAACGGCCUACCAAGGCAACGAUGCGUAGCCGACCUGAGAGGGUGAUCGCCCACACUAGAGCGGGGCCGCGGUCCAGACGCCUACGGGAGGCAGCAGUAGGGAAUCUUCGGCAGUGGGCGAAAGCCUGACGGAGCAACGCCGCGUGAGUGAUGAAGGUCUUCGGAUCGUAAAACUCUGUUAUUAGGGAAGAACAAAUGUGUAAGUAACUAUGCACGUCUUGACGGUACCUAAUCAGAAAGCCACGGCUAACUACGUG